UGGGGAAUUUUGCGCAAUGGGCGAAAGCCUGACGCAGCGACGCCGCGUGUGCGAUGAAGGCCUUUGGGUCGUAAAGCACUGUCGAUCGGGACGAAAACUCGCGUGAUAAUACCACGCGGAUUUGACGGUACCGGUAAAGGAAGCACCGGCCAACUCUGUGCCAGCAGCCGCGGUAAUACAGAGGGUGCGAACGUUGCUCGGAAUGAUUGGGCGUAAAGCGCGUGUAGGCGGUUUGUUAUGCCGGUUGUGAAAGCCCGAGGCUCAACCUCGGAAGUGCAGUCGGAACUGACAGACUCGAGUGCCGGAGAGGAUGGCGGAAUGCCCAGUGUAGAGGUGAAAUUCGUAGAUAUUGGGUAGAACACCGGUGGCGAAGGCGGCCAUCUGGACGGUUACUGACGCUGAAAUGCGAAAGCGUGGGGAGCAAACAGG
rnacentral:rRNA from 1 species